AAAAAUUAGUUAUACAGUCUUAGCCCAAUAACAGAAGCUCAGUUACAAAGUACCGCUAAACCCAGAUAAAAAUAAGCCCAAACCUUAUAAAACAAAACCCUAAUCUAUUCGGGUAAUCCAAAAGAAAUGGGCAGAAACCAAAUCUCAAUGAUGUAGUGCCGUUGGAAAAAAGAAAGGAGACCAAAUGGAGCAUAGGGGCAAAGCUCUUUUGACCAGAGGAUGAGGAGACGGCGAUGAAGCUCGGAGAAAUCCUGCAGAACGAUUGCCCAUACGUCAUCACAAAAGGUAAAAACAUAUAACCAAGCAGAAAAGCCAUGAAGCACCAGAGCAUGGAGAACAUAUAACCCAGAUCGCCAUUGCAUGCAAGACUAACAGCUCUCAGAACGUGAUGGGGCAAAGCUCUAAACUAUAACAACAGUUUUGGGGGUUGGCCAUGAGAGGUAGUGCCAGCUAGAGACCCGUGAGGUGCCAUCAUCUCCUAAAACAUAUCCCCCUCUCAGAGCAAGAAGCGAAGCACAUAUGGAGUUUCCACCUACAUGCAAGAACAAACAACACAACUCAAUUGUAGACCAAUCGAAGUCCUCUCUAAGCAGUCACGGGUCUACCACCAAAAUCUCUUACUCAUAACUUUAUUUAUGGACAAACCCCAUCCAGAGAGGGGAGGACACAACCCACGUCUUGGAUAAGGGAGGAAGUCCCUCCUGCCUAGAUGGGACAGAGGGAACCACUGAACGACAGUAGCAGAGAUCGAAACGCCUCAAAUGAAGAAGCUUCGAAUAGGGGAAGAGUUUUUGCUUUUCUUUGUAGAAAAUUGCUUUUCAACAGUUAUAUGGGUAUGC
rnacentral:misc_RNA from 1 species